rnacentral:rRNA from 1 species
GAACGCUGGCGGCGUGCCUAAUACAUGCAAGUCGAGCGGGGUUUUGCCACCGGAAGCUUCGGCGGAAGGGGGUAAAACCUAGCGGCGAACGGGUGAGUAACGCGUGGGUAACCUGCCCCAAAGACCGGGAUAACAACCCGAAAGGGUUGCUAAUACCGGAUGUGGCCACUGAGGCUGAGGCUUUAGUGGUUAAAGGCCUUCGGGCGCUUUGGGAUGGGCCUGCGUCCCAUUAGCUAGUUGGUGAGGUAACGGCUCACCAAGGCGACGAUGGGUAGCCGGCCUGAGAGGGUGGACGGCCACACUGGGACUGAGACACGGCCCAGACUCCUACGGGAGGCAGCAGUAGGGAAUUUUGCGCAAUGGGGGGAACCCUGACGCAGCGACGCCGCGUGGGCGAAGAAGGCCUUCGGGUCGUAAAGCCCUGUCCUUUGGGAAGAUAAUGACGGUACCAAAGGAGGAAGCCCCGGCUAACUACGUGCCAGCAGCCGCGGUAAUACGUAGGGGGCGAGCGUUGUCCGGAAUAACUGGGCGUAAAGGGUGCGUAGGCGGAUACGUAAGUCAGAUGUGAAAGGCGCGGGCUUAACCGGCGGACCGCAUUUGAAACUGCGUAUC